rnacentral:rRNA from 1 species
CCUACGGGAGGCAGCAGUGGGGAAUUUUGGACAAUGGGCGAAAGCCUGAUCCAGCCAUGCCGCGUGCAGGAUGAAGGCCUUCGGGUUGUAAACUGCUUUUGUACGGAACGAAACGGCCUUUUCUAAUAAAGAGGGCUAAUGACGGUACCGUAAGAAUAAGCACCGGCUAACUACGUGCCAGCAGCCGCGGUAAUACGUAGGGUGCAAGCGUUAAUCGGAAUUACUGGGCGUAAAGCGUGCGCAGGCGGUUAUGUAAGACAGUUGUGAAAUCCCCGGGCUCAACCUGGGAACUGCAUCUGUGACUGCAUAGCUAGAGUACGGUAGAGGGGGAUGGAAUUCCGCGUGUAGCAGUGAAAUGCGUAGAUAUGCGGAGGAACACCGAUGGCGAAGGCAAUCCCCUGGACCUGUACUGACGCUCAUGCACGAAAGCGUGGGGAGCAAACAGGAUUAGAUACCCUGGUAGUCC